rnacentral:rRNA from 1 species
GGCGAACGCUGGCGGCAGGCUUAACACAUGCAAGUCGAGCGGGCACCUUUCGGGGUGUCAGCGGCGGACGGGUGAGUAACGCGUGGGAACGUGCCCUCUGGUUCGGAAUAACUCAGGGAAACUUGAGCUAAUACCGGAUACGCCCUUUUGGGGAAAGGCUUGCUGCCGGAGGAUCGGCCCGCGUCUGAUUAGCUAGUUGGUGAGGUAACGGCUCACCAAGGCGACGAUCAGUAGCUGGUCUGAGAGGAUGAUCAGCCACACUGGGACUGAGACACGGCCCAGACUCCUACGGGAGGCAGCAGUGGGGAAUAUUGGACAAUGGGCGCAAGCCUGAUCCAGCCAUGCCGCGUGAGUGAUGAAGGCCUUAGGGUUGUAAAGCUCUUUUAUCCGGGACGAUAAUGACGGUACCGGAGGAAUAAGCCCCGGCUAACUUCGUG